rfam:Camelus ferus unplaced genomic scaffold scaffold765, whole genome shotgun sequence.
GAGGGUUUAGCUCAAAUAGUAGAGCAUGUGCUUAGCAUGCCUGAGGUCCUGGGUUUAACCCCCAGUACCUCCA